AUUAAGUUCAUCUAGGGUUUAUCUACUCGAGUGAAGUAAAAUAAAAUAUUCAAUUAGUACAGUGAAUACAGGUGACCAGCCAGAUGAUCCAAACGACAAUCUGGUUUUUUCUCAUUGGCUCCUUUUUCAUACAUAAAAUUUUCCAAAUAAUUUGAUUUUCUUAUCAGUUUGACUUAUGCAAAUACAGACUUAACGUGGCUUACUUAUGACUAUAUUGUAUUUACAGUUGUUCCUAAUGGCUUUCUAAGAUCUCUUUUUCUGUGUUUAUUAUUAGGGCCAAUUCUUGAAAUCAUUUACUUCUUUCCACACUGACAGAAUCCUGCAUGUCUUCAAUUUUCAGUUACUAACUUUUGAGAGAGGUUUUUCUAUGACAUAGGAAACAUAGUUGACUUUUGAUUAUUUUAUUUUUGAUUAUUUUAUGGUGGCUUGACCUGGUCUUCAAUAUCUUCCCUUUAUAUGUCUUAUAUUUUAAAAUAUAAUAAUAAUCUCAUUUGCAUUUAAUUAAUUUUUUCUAAUUUUUUUUGAAUAAGUUUACGGCUGGGAUUUCAUGGCAAAAGGCUUAGCAUAUUUUGAUCUUUUUUUUGUUUGUUUGUUUUUGAGACAGGGUCUCACUGUUGCCCUGCCUGGAGUGCAGUGGUGUGAACAGAGCAGGCUGUAGCUUUGACUUUCUGGACUCAGGUGAUCCUCUCACCUCAGCCUCUCAAGUAGCUGGGACUAGAGGUGCGUGCCACCUUGCCUGGCUAAUUUUUUUAAUUGUUAUUUUUUCGUAGAGACAGGGUUUCACCAUGUUGCCCAGCCUGGUUCAAACUCCUGGGAUCAAAUAAUCCCCUGCCUCGGUCUCCCAAAGUGCUGGAAUCACAGGCACGAGCUACUGCACCAGGGCUAUUUUAAGUGGAAAUGAGAUCCAAGUUAAUUCCAAGUUUAUUUCCAAGGUCAAGGAUUGAAGGAUGAUACGUGGUAAAUUCACGUGAGAGUUGGAUAUGGCCUUUGGAAGGAGCUCUCACAUGCCCCAGGAAUAACUGGACAUGGAGUAGGGACAGAGUGGUGUCAGUGACAGGAGUGAGCCCCAGGGAGAGAAUCCUUUUUGUUUUAAACCACAGAAGACACUUCAGUAAGAGAAGGUAGAAACAAGAAGCAAGUGGGGGAUUGACGUGCUUGGAUCCCACAAACGAGUUUAAAAGUAUUAGAAGCAGGCUAGACACGGUGGCUCACCCUGUAAUCCCAGCACUUUGGGAGGCCAAGGCGGGUGGAUUACCUGAGGUCAGGAGUUCGAGGACAGCCUGGCCAACACGGAGAAACCCCAUGUCUACUAAUAAAACAAAUAAAAUAAAAUAAACUGGGUGUGGUGGCGCGCAUCUGUAAUUCCAGCUACUCAGAGGCUGAGGCAUGAGAAUCGCUUGAGCCCAAGCGGUGGAGGUUGCAGUGAGCCGGGAUUGUGCCAUUGCACUCCAGCCUGGGUGACAGAGUGAAACUUGGUCUCAAAAAAAAGUAUUAGAAGCAGAUGCAAAAUUCAGAAUAUGAAGCCAGGAGCCUGGAAAGCAAGAACGAGAGAGUUGAUAUGAAGUGGUGAGAGUCAGAAGCUGCUCAGGAGGACUGCUGUAUUUCCCGGCAGCCUCUGCGUGGGCAGCAGCGGGGUAGGCGGCCGAGUCUCCCAGGCCACGGACCUGUAUUUCCCGGCAGCCUCUGCGUGGGCAGCAGCGGGGUAGGCGGCCGAGUCUCCCAGGCCACGGACCUGUAUUUCCCGGCAGCCUCUGCGUGGGCAGCAGCGGGGUAGGCGGCCGAGUCUCCCGGGCCAGGGACCUGUAUUUCCCGGCAACCUCUGCGUGGGCAGCAGCGGGGUAGGCGGCCGAGUCUCCCGGGCCACGGACCUGUAUUUCCCGGCAACCUCUGCGUGGGCAGCAGCGGGAUAGGCGGCCGAGUCUCCCGGGCCACGGACCUGUAUUUCCCGGCAGCCUCUGUGUGGGCAGCAGCGGCAUAGGCGGCCGAGUCUCCCGGGCCACGGACCUGUAUUUCCAGGCAGCCUCUGCAGUGGGCAGCAGCGGGGUAGGUGGCCGAGUCUCCCGGGCCACGGACCUGUAUUUCCCUGCAGCCUCUGUGUGGGCAGCAGCGGGAUAGGCGGCCGAGUCUCCCGGGCCACGGACCUGUAUUUCCAGGCAGCCUCUGCAGUGGGCAGCAGCGGGGUAGGUGGCCGAGUCUCCCGGGCCACGGACCUGUAUUUCCCGGCAGCCUCUGUGUGGGCAGCAGCGGGAUAGGCGGCCGAGUCUCCCGGGCCACGGACCUGUAUUUCCCGGCAGCCUCUGUGUGGGCAGCAGCGGGAUAGGCGGCCCAGUCUCCCGGGCCACGGACCUGUAUUUCCCUGCAGCCUCUGUGUGGGCAGCAGCGGGAUAGGCGGCCGAGUUUCCCAGGCCCCGGACGGGACAGAUUGGAUCGCACCUGUCACAGCCACGCUCUGGAAUAGCGAGGGCCCAGCGUCCCCAGGCCCAGGGUGAGGAGAAUCCCUGCCACACUGUGUCUGGAAUUGGUGGGUUCUUGGUCUCACUGACUUCAAGAAUGAAGCCGCGGACCCUCACGGUGAGUGUUACAGUUCUUAAAGGUGGCGCGUCCAGAGUUUGUUCCUUCUGAUGUUCGGAUGUAUUCGGAGUUGCUUCCUUCUGGUGGGUUUGUGGUCUCACUGGAUGAGGAGUGAAGCUGCGGGCCCUCGCAGCGAGUGUUACAGUUCUUAAGGCGGCGCGUCUGGAGCUGUUCGUUCCUCCCGGUGGGUUCGUGGUCUUGCUGGCUCAGGAGUGAAGCUGCAGACCUUCAUGGUGUUACAGCUCUUAAAGUGGCAUGUCUGGAGUUGCUCGUUCUUCCUGGUGGGUUCGUGGUCUUGCUGACUUCAGGAGUGAAGCUGCAGACCUUCGGGGUGAGUGUUACAGCUCUUAAGGCGGCGCGUCUGGAGUUGUUUGUUCCUCCCGGUGGGUUCGUGGUCUCUCUGGCUUCAGGAGUGAAGCUGCAGACCUUCGUGGUGUUACAGCUCAUAAAGGCAGUGUAGACCCGAAGAGUGAGCAGCAGCAAGAUUUAUUGCAAAGAGUGAAAGAACAAAGCUUCCACAGUGUGGAAGGGGACCUGAGCUGGUUGCCAUGGCUGGUUCGGGCAGCCUGCUUUUAUUCUCUUACCUGGCCCCACCCACAUCCUGCUGAUUGGUCCAUUUUACAGAGAGCUGAUUGGUCUGUUUUGACAGGGUGCUGAUUGGUGCGUUUACAAUCCCUGAGUUAGACACAAAAGUUCUCCAGGUCCCCACUAGAUUAGCUAGAUACAGAGUGUCUGUUGGUGUAUUUACAAACCCUGAGCUAGACACAGAGUGCUGAUUGGUGCAUUUACAAACCUUGAGCUAGAUACAGAGUGCCGAUUGGUGCAUUCAUAAUCCCUUAGCUAGACAUAAAGGUUCUCCAAGUCCCCAUUAGACUCAGGAGCCCAGCUGGCUUCACCCAGUGGAUCCCACACCUGGGCUGCAGGUGGAGCUGCCUGCCAGUCCCAGGCCGUGCGCCCGCACUCCUUAGCCCUUGGGCGGUUGAUGGGACCGGGCGCCGUGGAGCAGUGGGCAGCGCUCGUCG
rnacentral:lncRNA from 1 species